UAAUUCCGAUAACGAACGAGACUCUGGCAUGCUAACUAGUUACGCGACCCCCGAGCGGUCGGCGUCCCCCAACUUCUUAGAGGGACAAGUGGCGUUCAGCCACCCGAGAUUGAGCAAUAACAGGUCUGUGAUGCCCUUAGAUGUCCGGGGCUGCACGCGCGCUACACUGACUGGCUCAGCGUGUGCCUACCCUACGCCGGCAGGCGCGGGUAACCCGUUGAACCCCAUUCGUGAUGGGGAUCGGGGAUUGCAAUUAUUCCCCAUGAACGAGGAAUUCCCAGUAAGUGCGGGUCAUAAGC
rnacentral:rRNA from 1 species